GAAGAAGAAAAAGGAGUGUUACAGUCUCCAUAUCUCUUAACGUCUUUCCCUGAAGAUGAACUACUCUGAUUUUGCACCUGUAGCAAAUGGGAUAAGUGAAGCACCUCUGCCUUUUUUUGAAUGCAGACUCCAAAAAGAGGCCCACCUUCCUGACAGCUGCUCGAACAACAGAGCGGAGGAGCAGAGAAAAAACUCUGUACCGUCACCCGCCCAGCGAUUCUGAAAAGCUUGUUCACUUAUUUAAGGAUGAAGAAAGGAAUGCAGGACCAAUCUGUAAGUAACCAAAUUGCAUACAAUCUAGAAAUAGAAAAUUUAAAUAUAAAAUCAGAUGCAAAU